AUUGAACGCUGGCGGCAGGCCUAACACAUGCAAGUCGAGCGAGCGGCGGACGGGUGAGUACUGUAUGGGGACUGCCCGAUAGAGGGGGAUACCUACUGGGAACGGUAGCUAAUACCGCAUACUAUCGGAUAACCCAUAUGUGGGUAGCUAGUAGGUGAGGUAAUGGCUCACCUAGGCGACGAGCCCUCGCUGGUCUGAGAGGAUGAUCAGCCACACGGGGACUGAGACACGGCCCAGACUCCUACGGAGGCAGCAGUGGGGAAUAUUGCACAAUGGGCGCAAGCCUGAUGCAGCCAUGCCGCGUGUAUGAAGAAGGCCCUAGGGUUGUAAAGUACUUUCAGUCGGGAGGCGUUACCGGCAGAAGAAGCACCGGCUAACUCCGUGCCAGCAGCCGCGGUAAUAC
rnacentral:rRNA from 1 species